rnacentral:rRNA from 1 species
UACGGGGGGAGCAAGCGUUGUCCGGAUUUAUUGGGCGUAAAGAGCGUGUAGGCGGCCUGACAAGUCUGCUGUGAAAACUCGAGGCUCAACCUCGAGAUGUCGGCGGAAACUGUCUGGCUAGAGUCCGGAAGAGGAGAGUGGAAUUCCUGGUGUAGCGGUGAAAUGCGCAGAUAUCAGGAAGAACACCUAUGGCGAAGGCAGCUCUCUGGGACGGUACUGACGCUGAGACGCGAAAGCGUGGGGAGCGAACAGG